rnacentral:rRNA from 1 species
UCGCCUGUUUACAAAAACAUGUCUUUGCGAGAUUUAUGUAAAGUCUGGCCUGCCCAAUGACAUUUAGUUUAAUGGCCGCGGUAUAUUGACUGUGCGAAGGUAGCAUAAUAAUUAGUCUUUUAAUUGGGGACUAGAAUGAAUGGUCGAACAAGAGACUAGCUGUCUCUGAGCUAGAUCUUGAAUUUAACAUUUGAGUGAAAAGGCUUAAAUAAUUUAGGGGGACGAUAAGACCCUAUAAAUCUUUAUAUUUUAAGUUGUUAGGAUAAAAAAUUAUAAAAUAAAGUUUUUGGCUAGGAAUUUAAAAUAUUUUGUUGGGGCGACAAAGGUAUAAAAAUAACUGCUUUAGAUUUGUAGUUAAUGAUAUUUAAUUAAGUGAUCUUUUAUUAUAGAUUGUUAGAACAAGUUACUUUAGGGAUAACAGCGUGAUUUUUUUUGAGAGUUCAUAUCGAAAAAGAAGUUUGCGACCUCGAUGUUGAAUUAAAGGUCCGUCGUGGUGUAGCAGCUGUGGGCGGAGGUCUGUUCGACCUUUAAAUCUUUACAUGAUUUGAGUUCAAACCGGCGUGAGCCAGGUUGUUUUCUAUC